AUAGCGUAUAUUAAAGUUGUUGCGGUUAAAAAGCUCGUAGUUGAAUCUGUGUGUCACGCUGUCGGUUCACCGCUCGCGGUGUUUUAACUGGCAUGACGUGGUACGUCCUACCGGUGGGCUCAGCCCCCUCAACGGGGCGGCCCGACUAAUAUCCCAUCGCGGUGCUCUUCACCGGGUGUCGAGGUGGGCCGGUACGUUUACUUUGAACAAAUUAGAGUGCUCAAAGCAGGCUAUCCUCGCCUGAAUACUGCGUGCAUGGAAUAAUGGAAUAGGACCUCGGUUCUAUUUUGUUGGUUUUCGGAACCCCGAGGUAAUGAUUAAUAGGGACAGAUGGGGGCAUUCGUAUUGCGACGUUAGAGGUGAAAUUCUUGGAUCGUCGCAAGACGGACAGAAGCGAAAGCAUUUGCCAAAAAUGUUUUCAUUAAUCAAGAACGAAAGUUAGAGGUUCGAAGGCGAUCAGAUACCGCCCUAGUUCUAACCAUAAACGAUGCCAGCUAGCGAUCCGCCGAAGUUCCUCCGAUGACUCGGCGGGCAGCUUCCGGGAAACCAAAGCUUUUGGGUUCCGGGGGAAGUAUGGUUGCAAAGCUGAAACUUAAAGGAAUUGACGGAAGGGCACCACCAGGAGUGGAGCCUGCGGCUUAAUUUGACUCAACACGGGAAACCUCACCAGGCCCGGACACCGGAAGGAUUGACAGAUUGAUAGCUCUUUCUUGAUUCGGUGGGUGGUGGUGCAUGGCCGUUCUUAGUUGGUGGAGCGAUUUGUCUGGUUAAUUCCGAUAACGAACGAGACUCUAGCCUGCUAAAUAGGCGUACCUUCUGGUAUCUCGAAGGCCCCCGGCCCUCCGGCCGGUGGGUUUUUACUACCGACGUACAAACAAAUCUUCUUAGAGGGAC
rnacentral:rRNA from 1 species